rnacentral:rRNA from 1 species
UGAUGACGAGACGCUAAGGCGUUGAAGCAGUGUAUGUCAGACUUCCAAGAAAAGCUCGCAAUGUCACUAAUAAAAAAUGCCUGUACCAUAACCGACACAGGUGGGUAGGUAGAGUAUACUAAGGGGCGCGAGAUAACUCUCUCUAAGGAACUCGGCAAAAUGACUCCGUAACUUCGGGAGAAGGAGUGCCUUAUUUAUAAGGUUGCAAUAACAAGAUCCAAGCAACUGUUUAUCAAAAACACAGGUCUCCGCUAAGUCGUAAGACGAUGUAUGGGGGCUGACGCCUGCCCAGUGCCAGAAGGUUAAAGAAGUUGGUUAGUGUAUGCGAAGCUGAUGACUGAAGCCCUGGUGAACGGCGGCCGUAACGAUAGCGGUCCUAAGGUAGCGAAAUUCCUUGUCGGGUAAGUUCCGACCCGCACGAAAGGCGUAAUGAUUUGGAUACUGUCUCGGAGAGAGGCUCGGUGAAAUAGACUUGUCUGUGAAGAUGCGGACUACCUGCACCAGGACAGAAAGACCCUAUGAAGCUUUACUGUAACUUGAAAUUGGAAUUGGACUUUGCUUGCGCAGUAUAGGUGGGAAGCGUUGAAAAUAUUCUUGCGGGAGUAUUGGAGCUAUCAGUGAGAUACCACUCUUGUAAUGUUAGAUUUCUAACUUUGAACCAUAAUCUGGUCAAAGAACAGUUUCAGGUGGGCAGUUUGACUGGGGCGGUCGCCUCCCAAAUGGUAACGGAGGCGUACAAAGGUUUCCUCUGAACGGAUAGAAAUCGUAUCUAGAGUGUAAAGGCAUAAGGAAGCUUGACUGUGAGACCUACAAGUCGAGCAGGGACGAAAGUCGGUCUUAGUGAUCUGACGGUACUGAGUGGAAAGGCCGUCACUCAACGGAUAAAAGUUACUCUAAGGAUAACAGGCUGAUCUCCCCCAAGAGUUCACAUCGACGGGGAGGUUUGGCACCUCGAUGUCGGCUCAUCGCAUCCUGGGGCGGUAGUACGUCCCAAGGGUUGGGCUGUUCGCCCAUGAAAGCGGUACGCGAGCUGGGUUCAGAACGUCGUGAGACAGUUCGGUCCAUAUCCGGUGUAGGCGCUAGAAUAUUGAGAGGAGCCUUCUUUAGUACGAGAGGACCGAGAAGGACACACCGCUGGUGUACCAGUUAUCGUGCCAACGGUAAACGCUGGGUAGCUAUGUGUGGAGUGGAUAACCGCUGAAAGCAUCUAAGUGGGAAGCCCACCUCGAGAUGAGUAUUCU